rnacentral:rRNA from 1 species
GACGAACGCUGGCGGCGUGCUUAACACAUGCAAGUCGAACGGAAAGGCCCUGCUUUUGUGGGGUGCUCGAGUGGCGAACGGGUGAGUAACACGUGAGUAACCUGCCCUUGACUUUGGGAUAACUUCAGGAAACUGGGGCUAAUACCGGCUAGGAGCUCCUGCUGCAUGGUGGGGGUUGGAAAGUUUCGGCGGUUGGGGAUGGACUCGCGGCUUAUCAGCUUGUUGGUGGGGUAGUGGCUUACCAAGGCUUUGACGGGUAGCCGGCCUGCGAGGGUGACCGGCCACAUUGGGACUGUAGUACGGCCCAGAGUCCUACGGGAGGCAGCAGUGGGGAAUAUUGCACAAUGGGCGGAAGCCCGAUGCAGCAACGCCGCGUGCGGGAUGACGGCCUUCGGGUUGUAAACCGCUUUCGCCUGUGACGAAGAGUGAGUGACGGUAAUGGGAAAAGAAGCACCGGCUAACUACGUG